AUGAGAAAUAUUUGGUGUAUAUCAAGCCAGAAAUAUCACAUAUUUGUGUGUCAUCAAUGUUAUGUGCUCAACAAAUGUCCAACAAAGAAAUUAAAGGAAAUAGUUCAUAUUCAGAAGUGGACUAGAGAUAAGCAAAGUGUUAGUCAUCUGAAGGUAUUUGGUUUUGUAUGUUACAAACAUGUCCCAGAAGCCAGAAGACAGAAGUUGGAUGAUAGAAGUAAAGUGAUGUUGCUGGUGGGGUAUCACAGUACAAGUUCGUACAAACUUUAUUGUCCAGAAACUAACAAAGUUGAGUUCAGCAGAGACGUCAUUGUAGAGGAAUCAGAGGUUUGGAAUUGGGAAAAGUCUCGUCCUUAG